rnacentral:rRNA from 1 species
UACGGAGGGUGCAAGCGUUAUCCGGAUUCACUGGGUUUAAAGGGAGUGUAGGCGGCCUGUUAAGUCGAACGUGAAAUCCCUGGGCUCAACCCAGGAACUGCGUCCGAUACUGGCUGGCUUGAAUCCGGGAGAGGGAUGUGGAAUUCCAGGUGUAGCGGUGAAAUGCGUAGAUAUCUGGAGGAACACCGGUGGCGAAGGCGACAUCCUGGACCGGUAUUGACGCUGAGGCGCGAAAGCCAGGGGAGCAAACGGG